UUGGAGCAGAUCCUUCCUUGCCUUGCACCUUCUGAGAAGGCACCGCAGUGCAGGCUCCUCUGUCUCACACUCCCAGCCCAGAACCAAGCCAGAGGCGAUUCCUGCCGAAGCCACUCAGCUUGUGGUUCCUUGUUACAGCCGCCCUAGGAAGCCGGUGCUUAUCUCUGCUUCAGUUUGGGAUGAGAAUCUGGGGAGAGAGAUUUUCCUCACCAACUCCUUGUUCUUCUGAGAUGCAUUUCAAACAGGAAACACAGGGAACAGACUCGGUUCCUCCCUGUAUUUUCUAGUGUUGGGAAUGUGGCAUGGUUCUCUGGCAUCCUCUCAAGAUAUGUAAACUGCCAUUUCUGCAAGACUUCCUGCUCUUCUCAGUGAGAGAUGAUCUUGGAGGACCACAGUCUGGGGGUCAGGGAUACUGUGAGAUGCCAAGGACAACGGAGCUGGCCCCAUUUGCAUUCCUGCCCUCAGCGCCUGAAAAUGCCUGAUGUCCUACACCCUCCCCGGAAGAGCAGGCUGUGAAACUCCUAGAUGUUUGCCAAUAUGACAGACUCCAACUCCCAGGGCUGACAGCAACUUCAGGCUCAUCAAGGCUGAGUUCCAUGGCUCCCCGACACUCUUCUCGCAGCUGAGUAGCCAUCUGAGCUCCCCGGCUCGCAGGGCUGGUCUUGCUACGUGAGUACGACGAAGUCUAGGGCCUCUUGGACUCACAGCCCUUCUCAAAUUCUUUUCUGCUCUCUACAUUUUAUCUUCUCCCCUCAAAAAAAUUUUUCCUUUACCCCUUUCUUCAAUGAAAUGGCCUCUCACAUGGAAGCUCACUCGGAAGCUUCUGCCCCUUCUACUUCUAGGAAGCCUCCGUCCUUUGUGACCCAAGGCCAAGGUCACAUUCCUUGAUUACAUCACAAUUAAGAAUUUCCAUUUUUGUGAUGAAAUCAUGAACUCGUAAUUAAAAGGCAAAUAACCGCUUAAAAAUAUAUCUAAAAAGUCAAAACCUGAUGUAGUUAAAAUAUUUAAAUGAUACAAGGAACUUUUGCAAAUUAAUUUUUAAAAGCAACACCAGAACCCCAAUAGAUAAAUGGGCAAAGACUCUGAAUAGUUCAUGAGAUGAGAAACUCAAAAUAAUAAACAAAGGAAGAAAGGCUCAGACUCAUUUAAUUGGAGAUAUAAAAUAAGAACUAUGAUGAAUUAUGGGAUAGUUUAGAUCUCAAACCUCCCAAUCACCCAUAUGUUAGAGGCUUGAUCCCCAGCCUGUGACACUACCAGGAGGUGGUGGGAUCUUCAGGAAGAAGGGUCUCAUCGAAGGAAGUGAGGUCAUUGAAGACAUGCCCUUGAACGGGGCUGUGGUCCCUUCCUCUCUCCCCUUUGCUUCUUGGUUUCCCUGGGGCAAGCAGUCAUCCUCUACCACGUGCUCCUGCCGUGGUGUACUGUGCCACCACAGGCCCAAAGCAAUGGAACCAAGUGACCAGAAUGAAUCUUGGAAACCACAAACCAAAAUAAACCUUUCCUCUUUUUAAGCUUAUUAUUUCAGGUAUUUUGUCACAGCAGUGGAAAGCUAACUAACACAAAUGGUGAGUUACUACCUGUUGUGGUUUAGCUAUUAGUGUCCCCACAAAGCUCAUGUGUGAGACAAAGCAAGAAACUUUAGAGGAGAAAUGAUUGAGUUAAGACAGCCUUAACCCAAUCCAUGAAUUAAUCCCCUGAUGGGAUUAACUGAGUGGUAAAUGAAGGUGGGUAGGGUGUGGCUGGAGGAGGUGGGUCAUUGGGGGUGUGGCUUUUGGGUAUAUAUUUGGUAUCUGGUAAGUGGAGUCUCUUUCUGCUUUCUGAUCAUCAGGUGAACUGCUUUCCUCCACCACACUCUUCUGCCAUGAUGUUCAUCCUCACCUUGAGCCCCAAGGAAUGGAACUACAGACUGAGACCUCUGU